rnacentral:lncRNA from 1 species
CAGGAACCAUUAAGACUUCCUGACUGUCGCUAACCUGCUCUGGGACCGAUCAAACUGUGCCCUCUCUGUGCCUCCAUGUUCUCACUAGUCAAGUGUGGAUGGUAAAACCUGCACCUCAUACACAUUGGGAAAACCUAGUGGGGCACCAGCAAGCCUAUGUUACCUUGGGGAAAAUGUGAAGGACAUACCAAGAAAUGAAACCUCCAAAUCAACCCUGGGGUGAAGACUCUAACAAGGGAACAAGAAGAAGGAGACAGACAUGAUUUCCUGGAAAUUGUUUUGUUUCUGAGGUUUUAUGGAGCACUCUGCAUUCUUCCUUUAAAGGCAUGUUGUGUUGUUAUUGUUGCUUCAUUUUUCCAGGCAAGAGAAAGAAAAGAAAAUUUUUUAAAGAUGGGCUGGAUGUGCAGGAAGACAUCCAUUUGUGGUGUGUGAAAAGCAGAAGUAACAGGAAGGGGAAAGAUGAUGUGAACCAGUUGUCCAGAGUCACAGCAAUGCAGCCUGAAGACUUGGUGAGCUAUCCACCCAGAGUUUCCGUUAGCCACCAAGAUUAUCACACAUGCAAAAGAUGGUGGAAUGAGAUGGACAUCACUACCCUAAGUACAUAUUUGACUGUGCAUAUAGUGCGAUGCUACAACAUGUACCAGAGAAAUUAAAAGUUGUGCUGCAAUUGUGUACAAUGAAUCAAGAUGUUUUCUGCUAUCAUAUAU